rnacentral:lncRNA from 1 species
GCACACUCGUAUCAGUUAUGUAUUUAAGAGUAUUCCUUAGUUUUAUUGCUGCCUUCCAGAGGCAGCUUCCUGAAGAAAUAUUUGAGGUCCUCUGUAAGCUUCCAGGAGUAGACUGUUUCCUCCGAGAAGGCCUGUUCGUCAGAAGAAGCAAAAGGUUUUAUUCUAGAGACAUGGACUCAAGUCGGAAGUCCUUCCAACGUUAUGACCGUUGGAGUGGACAAGAUAACCUGGUCACUGGGUAUCAAUGGGACAAAUAAUCACUCCAUGGCAUCAGCAUGUAUAUCAAGAAAGAGAAAGUCACUCUUUAAUAAAGCUAGAAAACACCAGUAUUUUCUCAGGAGAAAUUGCAAUUUUCAUUUUUAAUCUGUCUUGAUAAAGUUUUACAAGAUUCAGGACUUUCAUUUCUCUCAGGUAAGUAAGGCUCCU